rnacentral:rRNA from 1 species
AGUCGAGGGGCAGCACAGAAAUAGCUUGCUAUUUGGGUGGCGACCGGCGCACGGGUGCGUAACGCGUAUGCAAUCUGCCCUUUACUGGGGAAUAGCCCGGAGAAAUUCGGAUUAAUGCCCCAUAUGCCCACAGAAUCACCUGGUUCAGUGGGGAAAGUUCCGACGGUAAAGGAUGAGCAUGCGUCCCAUUAGCUAGUUGGUGAGGUAACGGCUCACCAAGGCGACGAUGGGUAGGGGGCCUGAGAGGGUGAUCCCCCACACUGGUACUGAGACACGGACCAGACUCCUACGGGAGGCAGCAGUGAGGAAUAUUGGGCAAUGGAGGCAACUCUGACCCAGCCAUGCCGCGUGCAGGAAGACGGCCCUCUGGGUUGUAAACUGCUUUUGUUUGGGAAUAAACCCUUCUACGUGUAGGAGGCUGAAGGUACCAUACGAAUAAGGAUCGGCUAACUCCGUGCCAGCAGCCGCGGUAAUACGGAGGAUCCAAGCGUUAUCCGGAUUUAUUGGGUUUAAAGGGUCCGUAGGCGGGUCUUUAAGUCAGUGGUGAAAGCCCACAGCUCAACUGUGGAACUGCCAUUGAUACUGGAGAUCUUGAGUGUAGUAGAAGUAGGCGGAAUAGGGCAUGUAGCGGUGAAAUGCAUAGAUAUGCCCUAGAACACCGAUUGCGAAGGCAGCUUACUAUGUUACAACUGACGCUGANGGACGAAAGCGUGGGGAGCAAACAGGAUUANAUACCCUGGUAGUCCACGCUGUAAACGAUGAUUACUCGCUGUUGGNGACAUACAGUCAGCGGCCAAGCGAAAGCAUUAAGUAAUCCACCUGGGGAGUACGCCGGCAACGGUGAAACUCNAAGGANNNGACGGGGGNCCGCACAANCGGU